rnacentral:lncRNA from 1 species
AAAAGGGUAACCUUAGUUGAUGAUGGGCUAACUAAGGUUACAUAUAUGUAACCAUGGUUACAUGCUUGUGACUCUUGAGUUAUAUAACUCUUGUGACUCUUGGGUUAUGUAACUCUUUUGUUAUAAAGUGGGGGUUAUGGUUCCCACAUUAUGGCAAGACAAGACCCUUCUUCCUCCCAUUGAAUCAAGAGCAAAAACACCAUUGUUGUCUUGCAAAUAAUUGUGGAAAAACAUAUACUAUUUUGAUCAUUGUCAUAUUAUUAUUGUUGUGGGUCAAUUCACAUAUUGAUUAAGCCUUGUGAAGUAUUCUUGUGGUGUCAUACAUCUUCAAGACAUUCUUGAAGGAAGGAU